UACGAAGGGGGCUAGCGUUGCUCGGAAUCACUGGGCGUAAAGCGCACGUAGGCGGACUCUUAAGUCGGUGGUGAAAUCCUGGAGCUCAACUCCAGAACUGCCUUCGAUACUGAGAGUCUUGAGUCCGGGAGAGGUGAGUGGAACUGCGAGUGUAGAGGUGAAAUUCGUAGAUAUUCGCAAGAACACCAGUGGCGAAGGCAGCCCCUGGC
rnacentral:rRNA from 1 species